UACACCUUUCCUGUGAAGUUCGUUUCGGUGAAGACGUUGGUUCUACAAACAAGUAGCUAGUUACUACCCCAUGGCCUGAAGUACUGGAAUAAAACAAAAAUGAUCUGCUUCAAGAUGGAAACGGAGUUAGACCACUAGAACGCAGCAUGCAGACAGACCGGGGCUGGUGUUCACAAAGCAUCUCAGAGUAGGAGUACUGAUUUAGGAUCAGUUUUUUCCUUUCACGAUGAAUGUGCUGGUCUUAGAUCACAAUUCCUACUCUGAAGAAGCUUUGUGAAUAAGGGCCUGGGAAGAAACCUUUUGCCCAAUAUCUUGCACAGCAGUCUUUCACCACAGGACCCUGGAGUACAUGCUUAUGAACUGAAUAUUGCCACUGCAUGCUGUGUCAUGGGCCUGGAUGGUGACACACAUCUUCUUCAAGCUUCCUGACAAUACUCGGUCCUUCAGUGGUUCCAGAAGCAAGGGAGUUACCUGGGAGAACAGCAACAAUCUCAAUGUCUCUCGCAGCCAUUCUGUCAACAUGUAUUGUAUGUAACUACUCAUUCAUACAAACUUCUAUGGACACAAGCACUGACUUAUUACAUUUGUCCCAUUCUUUAACCAUUUCUGGGAUAUAUAUUGUAGUUGACACCUGUAUGAUGUGCCUGAAAUAUUACUAAACAUGUAUUCACUUUGAACUUUAAAAAAAAUCACAAGUUAAGUGUAUUUGUCUUGACUUUUAAGUUAUCACAGAAGUUAGUAGAAAUGUAAACACCAA